AUUGAACGCUGGCGGCAUGCCUUACACAUGCAAGUCGAACGGUAACAGGUCUUCGGAUGCUGACGAGUGGCGAACGGGUGAGUAAUGCAUCGGAACGUGCCCAGUAGUGGGGGAUAGCCCGGCGAAAGCCGGAUUAAUUCCGCAUACGACCUGAGGGUGAAAGGGGGGGAUCGCAAGACCUCUCGCUAUUGGAGCGGCCGAUGUCAGAUUAGCUAGUUGGUGGGGUAAAGGCCUACCAAGGCAACGAUCUGUAGUUGGUCUGAGAGGACGACCAGCCAAACUGGGACUGAGACACGGACCAGACUCCUACGGGAGGCAGCAGUGGGGAAUUUUGGACAAUGGGCGCAAGCCUGAUCCAGCAAUGCCGCGUGCAGGAAGAAGGCCUUCGGGUUGUAAACUGCUUUUGUCAGGGAAGAAAUCUUCUGGGUUAAUACCUCGGGAGGAUGACGGUACCUGAAGAAUAAGCACCGGCUAACUACGUGCCAGCCGCCGCCGUAAAAC
rnacentral:rRNA from 1 species